AUGGCCUUCCUUUGCACAAGAUUGGCAUGGUGGACCUUGAAGGGGGCUCCUCGGGGCUCUUCUGGACCAAAUACUCCUUCUCCGGCUGGCCAGGAGGACCUGGCAAUCACAAGAAGGAGUCAUUCCCACGACCUUUCACCUGUGGGGCCCUUCCCUAGGCUGGGGCUGGGUUUCACACUCACUGCCCUGAUUUCCUCUCAAAGGAGGAAAAAAAUCUUUGGCCAUGAAGAAGCACAAGCGUUUUAACCAACCCGUCCAUCCUAGGGAGCUCAGACCUGCUUCUCCCAUUGACAGCAUGUUGGGUUUCUGACGCCUCCUGAUUCCCUGCUGUAUUCUGAUGUUCACAACCCCCGCCCCCCCACCCAGAAGCCCAGGCUGCUUCAGAGUAUGUGUCUCUUCAGCUCCAACAUGGACAGAGCGCACCCACCUUACCCUGAGGUAUUUCUUGUGCCGUAUUACAUAUUCAAAUGCAAUUACAAAACAGGAUCUUAUGGAGUAAAUAUCGUGAUGUCAAUAGUUUCCACUAUCGUAAUAAUUUACGUAAGACAGAAAAAUCACUUCCAGAAUCUGAGCAAGUCUAAG
rnacentral:lncRNA from 1 species